rnacentral:rRNA from 1 species
GGGCCUACGGGGGGCAGCAGUGGGGAAUAUUGCACAAUGGAGGAAACUCUGAUGCAGUGACACCGCGUAUAGGAAGAAGGGUUUCGGAUUGUAAACUAUUUUAGACAGGGAAGAAAAAAGACAGUACCUGUAGAAUAAGCUCCGGCUAACUACGUGCCAGCAGCCGCGGUAAUACGGAGGAUGCGAGCGUUAUCCGGAUUUAUUGGGUUUAAAGGGUGCGCAGGCGGUCUGGUAAGUCAGCGGGCAAAGCCCGGGGCUCAACCCCGGCCCGCCGUUUAAACUGGCA